rnacentral:tRNA from 1 species
UCCCUGGUGGUCUAGUGGCUAAGACUCCAUGCUUCCAAUGCAGGGGGUUCAGGUUUGAUCCCUGGUCAGGGAA